AGGUUAAGCUACAAAGAGCACACGGAGGAUGCCUAGGCGCCAGGAGCCGACGAAGGACGUGGCGAACAACGAUAAGGCCUCGGGGAGCUGUAAGCAAGCUUUGAUCCGGGGAUGUCCGAAUGGGGAAACCCGGCUGUCUUCAUCGACAGUCACUACUCACUGAAUUCAUAGGUGAGUGAGAGGCAGACCAGGGGAACUGAAACAUCUAAGUACCCUGAGGAAGAGAAAACAAUAGUGAUUCCGUCAGUAGCGGCGAGCGAACGCGGAUUAGCCCAAACCAAGGAGCUUGCUCCUUGGGGUUGUGGGACGUCUCACAUGGAGUUACAAAGGAACCGGUUAGAUGAAGAGGUCUGGAAAGGCCCGCCAGAGAAGGUAAAAGCCCUGUAGUUCAAAACUUGUUCCCUCCGAGACGGAUCCCGAGUAGUGCGGGGCACGUGAAACCCCGUAUGAAUCCGGCAGGACCAUCUGCCAAGGCUAAAUACUCCCUGGCGACCGAUAGUGAAGCAGUACCGUGAGGGAAAGGUGAAAAGCACCCCGGAAGGGGAGUGAAAUAGAUCCUGAAACCGUGUGCUUACAAGAAGUCAGAGCCCGAUCUAUGGGUGAUGGCGUGCCUUUUGUAGAAUGAACCGGCGAGUUACGUUCCCGUGCAAGGUUAAGGUGAAGAGCUGAAGCCGCAGCGAAAGCGAGUCUGAAUAGGGCGAAUGAGUACGUGGACGUAGACCCGAAACCGGGUGAUCUACCCCUGUCCAGGGUGAAGGUGCGGUAACACGCACUGGAGGCCCGAACCCACGCAUGUUGAAAAAUGCGGGGAUGAGGUGGGGGUAGCGGAGAAAUUCCAAUCGAACCCGGAGAUAGCUGGUUCUCCCCGAAAUAGCUUUAGGGCUAGCCUCGGAAAGAAGAAUCGUGGAGGUAGAGCACUGAUUGGGUGCGGGGCCCGCAAGGGUUACCAAGCUCAGUCAAACUCCGAAUGCCAUAGAUUUAGUUCCGGGAGUCAGACAGUGAGUGCUAAGAUCCAUUGUCGAAAGGGAAACAGCCCAGACCAUCAGCUAAGGUCCCCAAGUGUGUGUUAAGUGGGAAAGGAUGUGGAGUUGCACAGACAACCAGGAUGUUGGCUUAGAAGCAGCCACCAUUGAAAGAGUGCGUAAUAGCUCACUGGUCGAGUGACUCUGCGCCGAAAAUGUAACGGGGCUAAACACACCACCGAAGCUAUGGCUUGAUGCUUGCAUCAGGGGUAGGGGAGCGUUGAAUGCGGGUUGAAGGUGUACCGGAAGGAGCGCUGGACUGCAUUCAAGUGAGAAUGCCGGUAUGAGUAACGAAAAGAUCUGUGAGAAUCAGAUCCGCCGAAAGCCUAAGGGUUCCUGAGGAAGGUUCGUCCGCUCAGGGUAAGUCGGGACCUAAGGCGAGGCCGAUAGGCGUAGUCGAAGGACAACAGGUCGAAAUUCCUGUACCA
rnacentral:rRNA from 1 species